rnacentral:tRNA from 1 species
AAGGGAGACCUAAUUCAGGUAUGGGACGAAAAAAAAGUAGUCGCUACCAAGAAUCAAUCCCAAAAGGUCGGAGCGAGGUAUGAGGCUUUCAAACUAGGUUCUGGGUUCAAACAAGACCUGAAUCAGGAGCAAGGGCUAUUAGCUCAGGUGGUUAGAGCGCACCCCUGAUAAGGGUGAGGUCCCUGGUUCGAGUCCAGGAUGGCCCACCUGCACAGGUGGCAAAAACAAGAGAAGCGAGGAAUCAGCACCUUAUCUUAUCUAUAUAUAAGAGAGAAUGCUGGCUCUGAGUAAAGAGUCCAGAGGAACCUUGAAAACUGCAUAGAGCUAGGUGAAAAAGCCAAAAAAGAAGACCGCAA